GCAUUAGGGUUUUAAACCCUAAACUGAACUUUUCCUUUCAGCCAGCAUUAGGGUUUUAAAACCCUAAACUGAGCUUUUCCAUGUAAUCAGCAUUAGGGUUUUAAACCCUAAACUGAAUUUUCCUUUUAGUCAGCAUUAGGGUUUUAAACCCUAAACUGAAUUUUUCCUUUAGCCAGCAUUAGGGUUUUAAACCCUAAACUGAAUUUUCCUUUUAAUCAGCAUUAGGGUUUUAAACCCUAAACUGAAUCUUUCUUUAGUCAGGUUUUAAACCCUAAACUGACUUCUUCCUUUGCAAAGCGUUGGGGUGUUAAACCCUAAACCGAACCUUUCCCCAGCUAGUCGGUAUUAGGGCUCCAACCCUGAACUGAGCAUGCAUAUCCUCUUUCAUCAAU
rnacentral:lncRNA from 1 species